CCUACGGGAGGCAGCAGUGGGGAAUAUUGGACAAUGGGCGAAAGCCUGAUCCAGCCAUGCCGCGUGUGUGAAGAAGGCCUUCGGGUUGUAAAGCACUUUCAGUGGGGAAGAAAGCCUUGGGGCUAAUACCCUCGAGGAAGGACAUCACCCACAGAAGAAGCACCGGCUAACUCCGUGCCAGCAGCCGCGGUAAUACGGAGGGUGCGAGCGUUAAUCGGAAUUACUGGGCGUAAAGCGCGCGUAGGCGGUCUGAUAAGCCGGUUGUGAAAGCCCCGGGCUCAACCUGGGAACGGCAUCCGGAACUGUCAGGCUAGAGUGCAGGAGAGGAAGGUAGAAUUCCCGGAGUAGCGGUGAAAUGCGUAGAGAUCGGGAGGAAUACCAGUGGCGAAGGCGGCCUUCUGGACUGACACUGACGCUGAGGUGCGAAAGCGUGGGUAGCAAACAGGAUUAGAUACCCGAGUAGUC
rnacentral:rRNA from 1 species